ACUCGCGAAUGCUCUAGAUAGAGUUUGAUCAUGGCUCAGAUUGAACGCUGGCGGCAUGCUUUACACAUGCAAGUCGAACGGUAACAGGUCUUCGGAUGCUGACGAGUGGCGAACGGGUGAGUAAUACAUCGGAACGUGCCUAGUAGUGGGGGAUAACUACUCGAAAGAGUAGCUAAUACCGCAUGAGAUCUACGGAUGAAAGCAGGGGACCUUCGGGCCUUGUGCUACUAGAGCGGCUGAUGGCAGAUUAGGUAGUUGGUGGGGUAAAGGCUUACCAAGCCUGCGAUCUGUAGCUGGUCUGAGAGGACGACCAGCCACACUGGGACUGAGACACGGCCCAGACUCCUACGGGAGGCAGCAGUGGGGAAUUUUGGACAAUGGGCGAAAGCCUGAUCCAGCAAUGCCGCGUGCAGGAUGAAGGCCCUCGGGUUGUAAACUGCUUUUGUACGGAACGAAAAGCCUGGGGCUAAUAUCCCCGGGUCAUGACGGG
rnacentral:rRNA from 1 species